rnacentral:rRNA from 1 species
AACGUAGGGGACAAGCGUUAUCCGGAUUUAUUGGGCGUAAAGAGCUCGUAGGCGGUUUGUCGCGUCGAAUGUGAAAACCCGGGGCUCAACCCCGGGCCUGCAUUCGAUACGGGCAGACUAGAGUUCGGUAGGGGAGACUGGAAUUCCUGGUGUAGCGGUGAAAUGCGCAGAUAUCAGGAGGAACACCGGUGGCGAAGGCGGGUCUCUGGGCAUUACCUGACGCUGAGGAGCGAAAGUGUGGGGAGCGAACAGG